GAUGAACGCUAGCUACAGGCUUAACACAUGCAAGUCGAGGGGAAACGACAUCGAAAGCUUGCUUUUGAUGGGCGUCGACCGGCGCACGGGUGAGUAACGCGUAUCCCACCUGCCCAUCACUUGGGAAUAACCUUGCGAAAGUAAGACUAAUACACAAUGAUAUCCCACGAAGGCAUCGGAAUGUGAUUAAAGAUUUAUCGGUGAUGGAUGGGGAUGCGUCUGAUUAGCUUGUUGGCGGGGUAACGGCCCACCAAGGCAACGAUCAGUAGGGGUUCUGAGAGGAAGGUCCCCCACAUUGGAACUGAGACACGGUCCAAACUCCUACGGGAGGCAGCAGUGAGGAAUAUUGGUCAAUGGGCGAGAGCCUGAACCAGCCAAGUAGCGUGCAGGAAGACGGCCCUAUGGGUUGUAAACUGCUUUUAUAAGGGAAUAAAGUGGGUCACGUGUGACUUUUUGCAUGUACCUUAUGAAUAAGGACCGGCUAAUUCCGUG
rnacentral:rRNA from 1 species